ensembl:lncRNA
CCACUUCUCAUUUAGCUGGAGAUUCGUUUCGCCACCAGGACAGGCUGAGUCCAAGUGUCUCCAAUGUUUAAGGAUGUUGCUGUAUACAGUAAAAUCAUUUGCUAUUGAGUUAGGAUCACACAUGCCAAGCACCUGCAUCCUGCAGUAGAGGGAAUAUCACACAAAGCAACGCGGGAAGCUUCCGCACCAAACCCACCAUUCAUUGCAAGGCUCAUCAAGAGAGCUUCACGUUUUCCCUUUCCCUGUGCGAGGAAAACUAUUUCAGGUAACCUAACUGCAAGCGAUUUUUAUACACCAGACAGCACUUACACAGCUUAUAUAUUUAACGAGACCAGCAAGAAGCUCAUGGUAUUCUUAAGAGUUAUUUUUGCUCAGAACAGCUCAGAACAAAGCAUGAGAGAGGCACGUCUGGCAUGGAGAUGCUUUCGUGCAGCUCCGUCCAAGAGGCACGCGUUUUACGGGACAAGUUCAAGUGCAGCCCGAGAUGUUCCGGUGACAGAGCACCAGGGUCUCAGACAUAACGUGCUGAACGUUGCUUUGGGCCCUGGGCUGCUCGGGUGGAGCCCUUUGAUUUCAUCUGAAGCAUUCAGAGAAAAAGCCCUGGUGGUAUCGGCUUCCCAUUUCGCAGCGCUCUUUUUCCGAAGCAGCUGAGUGUGCUGGAGAGACAGACUCGCAGCGCAGAAACACAUGGGGCACGCCCUCUGGGAUUUUUCCGUUUCCUCUACAUUAAUGAAGAUUAAAGUGUAAGAAAGGGCAGUCAUCAGUGGAACGGAUAAUUAAUGAUGAUUGAUGAUUUACUUUUAAUUUAAGCCCCACCAUUAAUUCAGAUGAACACAAAUACAAGAUCACUACUCAACACAUGUUAAGCUCGCCUCCUGAUUCACUUGGAUGUGAUGGAUAGCUUUGAAUGAGAGCACCUGAGCGUGCUGUAAAGGGCUUAAUUAAAACCAGCAAAAUCGUCAACGCCUGUUCCUUAGGUGAGAUCGGAUACCAGGCCUGCAUUGAUCUGGAGCAGCGCUGUGCUAAAGUCCUCCUUAGGAAAAAAUCGGGGAUCUUCCUCACCCAGGGAUCUAACCUGCAUCUCCUGCAUCGCAGGUGAAUUCUUUACCACAAGUGUAAUCUGAGAAGCCCUGAAGAAGCCUGAAGAGGCUGCACACACUCAGAGACAGCAGGGGACCAUGAUAAGGACAUGGAGAUGUCUAAAUCCACUGAUUCACUGCAGAGAAAGGGGUAUUGGACAGUGCUCCAGAAGGAGUACCAUGUGUAUUUCAACUGUAAUCGGAGACAUCUAUUUUCAACCUCAACCACAAUCUCAUUUUUUAUGACAGCCAAGACAUGGAAAUAACCUAAGUGUCCUUCAAUGGAUUAAAGAAAAUAUUAUAUAAAUGUCUCCAUACUGGAAUAUUAUUCAGCCAUAAAAAGGAAAUUCUUCCAUUUGCAAAGACAUCAAUGAAACUUGGGUGCAUUACUCUAAAUGAUACAAACCAAACGGAAAAAGACAAAUACCAAAUUCAUUAUAUUCUCACUUAUAUGUGGAAUCUAAAAAACCAAGCUCAUGAAUACAGAUCACUGGUUGCCAGAGUUAGGAGAUAAGAAGGCGGACAAAAUGGAUGAAGGCAGUCAAAAGGCACAAACUUUCAGGUAUAAAACGAAGGUUAAGGGACUGUGAUGUACAGCUGGGUGACUAAAGUUCAUAAUACUGUAUAGAAGAUCUUACAAGUUCUCAUCAUAAGAAAAUAAAACUUUGUCAUUAGGUGUUGGGUGUUAACUAACCUUAUAUGGUCAUCAUUUUUCAAUAUAAAUAUAUCAAAUCAUGAUGUACACCUGAAACUAACACAUUGUAUAUGUU